rnacentral:rRNA from 1 species
AACUCCUACGGGACGCAGCAGUGAGGAAUAUUGGUCAAUGGGCGGAAGCCUGAACCAGCCAAGUCGCGUGAGGGAAUAAGGCCCUACGGGUCGUAAACCUCUUUUGUCAGGGAGCAAGAACGGAUACGUGUAUCCGAGCGAGAGUACCUGAAGAAAAAGCAUCGGCUAACUCCGUGCCAGCAGCCGCGGUAAUACGGAGGAUGCGAGCGUUAUCCGGAUUUAUUGGGUUUAAAGGGUGCGUAGGCGGACUGCCAAGUCAGCGGUAAAAUUGCGGGGCUCAACCCCGUCGAGCCGUUGAAACUGGG